ACCUAAUUAAAAAAAAUACACAAUUCAUAAAUAAAAAGCAGUUGUAGUUAUAUAGUGUUUUAUAGACUUAUCUUUAAAAUAUUUUGUUGUUAAUUACAGUGAUUCGAGAAGAGAUCCCACUCAUAGAACGUCCAACAGAAGACAAACACGCAUCGGAAGCGCUUUGUUUUGAGACAACCCAUUUUGAAAAUACUGAGACAUCGACAACCAGAUGUUCGGGGACAGUUGCAUUGCAAUUUAAUGAUACAAAAACAGAUUCACCUGAACCAAGUAUUUCUAAAGCAGAUGAUCCCACGAACAGACUUGAGCACUACCCAGGGUAGCAAACGAUGCAAACUAUCCUUAAGCAAAUCAAUGAGAAAGGUUUCAAAUGGAAAACAUGUUUAGAAACUAUAAGAAACGAUACAGAUGUCAGUAAGCUUAGUGGUUUCGAGAUGGAACAAAAAGAUCCUUAUUUCACCGAAGUUCG